GUGAGUCAUCGAAUCUUUGAACGCACAUUGCGCCCCCUGGUAUUCCGGGGGGCAUGCCUGUCCGAGCGUCAUUGCUGCCCUCAAGCACGGCUUGUGUGUUGGGCCCCGCCCCCCGGUUCCGGGGGGCGGACCCGAAAGGCAGCGGCGGCACCGCGUCCGGUCCUCGAGCGUAUGGGGCUUCGUCACCCGCUCUGUAGGCCCGGCCGGCGCCCGCCGGCGACCCCCAAUCAAUCUAUCCAGGUUGACCUCGGAUCAGGUAGGGAUACCCGCUGAACUUAAGCAUAUCAAUAAGCGGAGGA
rnacentral:misc_RNA from 1 species